rnacentral:rRNA from 1 species
UGUUGAGUUUGAUUCGUGGCUCAGGACGAACGGUGGCGGCGUGCCUAAUACGAUGCGAAGUCGAACGCUUUUUCUUUCACCGGAGCUUGCUCCACCGAAAGAAAAAGAGUGGCGAACGGGUGAGUAACACGUGGGUAACCUGCCCAUCAGAAGGGGAUAACACUUGGAAACAGGUGCUAAUACCGUAUAACACUAUUUUCCGCAUGGAAGAAAGUUGAAAGGCGCUUUUGCGUCACUGAUGGAUGGACCCGCGGUGCAUUAGCUAGUUGGUGAGGUAACGGCUCACCAAGGCAACGAUGCAUAGCCGACCUGAGAGGGUGAUCGGCCACACUGGGACUGAGACACGGCCCAGACUCCUACGGGAGGCAGCAGUAGGGAAUCUUCGGCAAUGGACGAAAGUCUGACCGAGCAACGCCGCGUGAGUGAAGAAGGUUUUCGGAUCGUAAAACUCUGUUGUUAGAGAAGAACAAGGAUGAGAGUAAAAUGUUCAUCCCUUGACGGUAUCUAACCAGAAAGCCACGGCUAACUACGUGCCAGCCGCCGCCGUAACACAAA